rnacentral:rRNA from 1 species
AUUGAACGCUGGCGGCAGGCCUAACACAUGCAAGUCGAGCGGAUGAAGGGAGCUUGCUCCUGGAUUCAGCGGCGGACGGGUGAGUAAUGCCUAGGAAUCUGCCUGGUAGUGGGGGAUAACGUCCGGAAACGGGCGCUAAUACCGCAUACGUCCUGAGGGAGAAAGUGGGGGAUCUUCGGACCUCACGCUAUCAGAUGAGCCUAGGUCGGAUUAGCUAGUUGGUGGGGUAAAGGCCUACCAAGGCGACGAUCCGUAACUGGUCUGAGAGGAUGAUCAGUCACACUGGAACUGGGACACGAUCCAGACUCCUACGGGAGGCAGCAGUGGGGAAUAUUGGACAAUGGGCGAAAGCCUGAUCCAGCCAUGCCGCGUGUGUGAAGAAGGUCUUCGGAUUGUAAAGCACUUUAAGUUGGGAGGAAGGGCAGUAAGUUAAUACCCUGCUGUUUUGACGUUACCAACAGAAUAAGCACCGGCUAACUUCGUG